rnacentral:rRNA from 1 species
AUUGAACGCUGGCGGCAUGCCUUACACAUGCAAGUCGAACGGCAGCGGGGGAGAAGCUUGCUUUUCCUGCCGGCGAGUGGCGAACGGGUGAGUAAUACAUCGGAACGUGCCCUGUAGUGGGGGAUAACUAGUCGAAAGAUUAGCUAAUACCGCAUACGACCUGAGGGUGAAAGUGGGGGACCGCAAGGCCUCAUGCUAUAGGAGCGGCCGAUGUCUGAUUAGCUAGUUGGGGGGGUAAAGGCCUACCAAGGCGACGAUCAGUAGCUGGUCUGAGAGGACGAUCAGCCACACUGGGACUGAGACGCGGCCCAGACUCCUACGGGUGGCAGCAGUGGGGAAUUUUGGACAAUGGGCGAAAGCCUGAUCCAGCAAUGCCGCGUGUGUGAAGAAGGCCUUCGGGUUGUAAAGCACUUUUGUCCGGAAAGAAAUGGCUCUGGUUAAUACCUGGGGUCGAUGACGGUACCGGAAGAAUAAGGACCGGCUAACUACGUGCCAGCCGCCGCCGUAA